UACGAAGGGUGCAAGCGUUAAUCGGAAUUACUGGGCGUAAAGCGUGCGUAGACGGUUUCGUAAGUCGGGUGUGAAAUCCCCGGGCUCAACCUGGGAAUUGCAUUCGAAACUGCGAGGCUAGGGUACGGAAGAGGGAAGCGGAAUUUCUGGUGUAGCGGUGAAAUGCGUAGAUAUCAGAAGGAACAUCAGUGGCGAAAGCGGCUUCCUGGUCCAGUACCGACGUUCAGGCACGAAAGCGUGGGGAGCAAACAGG
rnacentral:rRNA from 1 species